AACAGAUUAUCUUUAGAAAUGUUCGCAAAAUUUUUGGUUUGGACACAAAAAACCAAGUGAAAAUAAUUCUGGAAAGGUACACUUUCUUAUAUCUAAACAUCACUGCAGCUUUCUAUUCUUCAUUUUUGUUUAUGUGUAUUUCAUCUGUGUUGCUAAUGAUAUUGCCAGUUUUUAUGAUUUUAUAUUGUUAAGUAAAGCAUCCUUAUGUUUUAGGCUAAAAUAGAGCUUUAACUAAUACUUUUUUCCUGUUCAAAUAAAUAACAACUCUGAAUUAUCUGUUUUGAUAGUCUUUAUUCAAUAACGGAUUUUUAAAUUGUUAUGAGUCUAAAACACAAUUUCAGCGUAAUUCAAUUAAAAAGUCAUGUUAUAGAAGACAGAAAAAUAUCAAUAUCUGUUUUUAAUAACUUGGAUUUCAUAGCAAAUCUGAGAGACUGUUUACCUUUUUAUUUUCUGUCCCAAUCUAACCUAGUGGGUUCAAAAAGAAGAGACCGCGCUGGAAACAUGAGUGGAUUAAAAGGAUCAUCCCUUUUUGAAUUAAUAGUCGAAGUGGUAACCAGCUAGAAGUCGUAACCUGCUCGUAUGAAAGGAUUUCUUGGCGUGAAAUUGUUAAUUUUAUUCAACAACGCCAAGAAAUAAAGCUUGCUCAAGAAACAGAAAAGAAAGAGAAAGAUGAACAAUAUUCUGA